CCGAGUUGCAAAACUCCCAAACCCACUGUGAACCUAUACCACUGUUGCUUCGGCGGAUACGCCCCGGGCGCACCCCCUCCAGGGGGUUGUGCCCCGGAACCAGGCGCCCGCCGGGGGACCGAAACCUCUGUAUUUACCGUUUGAGUACUCUGAGUGUGAUUUACAAAAUCAAAAUUA
rnacentral:misc_RNA from 1 species